rnacentral:rRNA from 1 species
UACGUAGGUGGCAAGCGUUGUCCGGAUUUAUUGGGCGUAAAGCGCCCGCAGGCGGCUUGCCAAGUUCGAUGUGAAAUCUCCCGGCUCAACUGGGAGGGUGCAUCGAAAACUGGCAGGCUUGAGGCAGGGAGAGGGAUGUGGAAUUCCAGGUGUAGUGGUGAAAUGCGCAGAUAUCAGGAGGAACACCGGUGGCGAAGGCGGGUCUCUGGGCCGAUACUGACGCUGAGGAGCGAAAGCGUGGGGAGCGAACAGG